AGCUAACGCGAUUAAAGUCAGACCGCCUGGGGAGUACGGACCGCAAGGUUAGAAACUCAAAUGAAUUGACGGGGGCCCGCACAAGCGGUGGAGCAUGUGGUUUAAUUCGAUGCAACGCGAAGAACCUUACCUACUCUUGACAUCCAGCGAAUCCUUUAGAGAUAGAGGAGUGCCUUCGGGAACGCUGAGACAGGUGCUGCAUGGCUG
rnacentral:rRNA from 1 species